GAUCUUGGAAAAUGGGGGCAACCCUGUUGCAGCGCCGCCGCGUGGGCGAAGAAGGCCUUCUGGACGUAAAGCACUUCUCUGGGUGACGAGGAAGGACGGUAGCCCAGGAGGACGUCUCGGCUAACUACGUGCCAGCAGCCGCGGUAAAACGUAGGAUGCAAGCGUUAUCCGGAGUUACUGGGCGUAAAGCGCGCGCAGGCGGUUAGGCAAGUUGGGUGUGAAAGGUCCCGGCUAAACCGGGAGAGUGCAUUCAAGACUGCCUGGCUAGAGGACGGUAGAGGGGCGCAGAAUUCGGGGUGUAGCGGUGAAAUGUGUAGAGAUCCCGAGGAAUACCAGUGGGGAAGCCGGCGCCCUGGGCCGAACCUGACGCUGAGGCGCGACAGCGUGGGGAGCGAACGAG
rnacentral:rRNA from 1 species